GCCGACAGGUGCUACGCUUUGUCAUGCCUGGUCGGCAGGUGCUACGCACAACAGAUCUUACUGAGUCUUCGCGUCUGGAUGGACGAGCGCAGGGAGGGGGUGCCGUUGGGCGGCGUGGUGGCGUCGACGGAUGGCCGGACUGACAAGGAUUAUGCGGAUCUCUAUCCUGAAGAUGGUUCAACGGUUCGAUGAUGAUGGCGGCUUCUAAAACGUGUGCAUGUGGUGUACGCUUUAGGUCUGCUGCACCGGCUGUGAGUUCCGAUACGUCAUGUGGAUGGAUCGGAGACGACACCGGAUUUAGAUAUGGGAAGUGGGUGCACUUCACAUUAUCACGGUUUGUAGGUGUGAGAGGGGGCUUCGGGUGGUUUGAUGUAUGUUCUUAUCAGACCUUUGUUGAAUAAGUAAUAAAG
rnacentral:lncRNA from 1 species